rnacentral:rRNA from 1 species
AUGCACGCUGGCGGCGUGCCUAAUACAUGCAAGUCGAGCGAACGGACGAGAAGCUUGCUUCUCUGAUGUUAGCGGCGGACGGGUGAGUAACACGUGGAUAACCUACCUAUAAGACUGGGAUAACUUCGGGAAACCGGAGCUAAUACCGGAUGAUAUUUUGAACCGCAUGGUUCAAAAGUGAAAGACGGUCUUGCUGUCACUUAUAGAUGGAUCCGCGCUGCAUUAGCUAGUUGGUAAGGUAACGGCUUACCAAGGCAACGAUGCAUAGCCGACCUGAGAGGGUGAUCGGCCACACUGGAACUGAGACACGGUCCAGACUCCUACGGGAGGCAGCAGUAGGGAAUCUUCCGCAAUGGGCGAAAGCCUGACGGAGCAACGCCGCGUGAGUGAUGAAGGUCUUCGGAUCGUAAAACUCUGUUAUUAGGGAAGAACAUAUGUGUAAGUAACUGUGCACAUCUUGACGGUACCUAAUCAUAAAGCCACGGCUAACUACGUG